AAAUUUCAGAUAAUCCUUUUGUAAUUAGCCCCAAAUAGAACACAAAAUGAACAGAGUAUCCUAGACGCUCAAAAUUGAACAGUACAGUCAACAUAUAAUGGAAUUACAUCCUGGAAAGUUAUAAACCAGACAAGUAAUACAUAUAAAAUUCAGUUGGCAGUCGUUAAAAAAAAUUGAGAAUGGAAACCAAAUAUUGAAUUUCAAUGAA
rnacentral:misc_RNA from 1 species